CCGUUACGUUGGUGACGUCACCACGAGCGCGAGAAGUCGAAGGUAGGAGCAGAAAGCGGUGUUAGUGUUAGUUCUGGCCCGUUUGGACCCAAACUAAAGUGUAUCAGUAUGAAGCAGGCGGUGACGGCGCACUGAUUCACUCUCGGAGCUCGGUUCACUAAUGACCGAAUCACCGAGGAACCGACCAAAUAUAACUCACACCCGCACGGAGAAGAAGAACAAGAGGAGGAGAAGAUGAGCUGGAGUGGGGCAAAGAGAACUGCAUUCAGAUCAAACGGAUACAAGAGAGGUGGCCGAGUUGUUUGAGGAUCUAAAGAAUUGAGUGUCACAAUUCAACAUGCACAUCAGCGAAACUUUUCCCUCUGACUACACCAGCACGCACGCACAGAAAUUCAUAGUGCAGGUGGCAAUUGCAGGCACAUUUUAUCCGAACUGCUUCCUCCAGGGAACUCUAUGGAAACGACCCCAGGACCACCAUAGUGGUGUGUAAUCUCCCUCCAUUUGCAUUCCUCUACUAUAAACAGCUCCAGUCUCUCUUCAGACACUGUGGUUAAAUCAAAUCCAUCUCCUUUGACAGCUCCAGGGCCUAUGUAGAGUUCUACCGCUCGUCAAUGAGAGGUUCUGGCGUUCUCCCAGAGGUCUCUCUGUCUCUCCUCCUCACGCAGCAGAGACUUCCUCUCCAUGUCAACGUUUAACCUGCUGGAGAGGUGGAGACUUGGGCAGGGGGGUAGUGUAUCUCACACCUCAGAUAUACACGGGUGAAUGUGGAUUUUCAGAAUCAGUCAGUGAGCCCUGUCGGGGUUCUGAGCAGCUCCAUUGAGUUGGAGAAUCUUCCGUCUAACCCUGUCUUUAUCGUCAAUAUCACCGAGGUGUCUGUUCCGCCUCUUUCACUUUCAGUGCACAAAUAAAAAAGAAGCUGUGGCUCCUGUGUGUGUGUGUGUGUGUGUGUGUGUGUGUGUGCACUAACAGGAGGUCCAGGUGCAGCCUUUGGAUAUUGAUGAAGAUUUACUGCCCCUGCAAGACCUUCCUCAACUGCGUAGUCUGGAGCAAAGGAUGCAACAGAGCCCAGAUUACAAGCAAAAUCUGGUAAACUGGUUGGCGCUUAUUGACGGGGUGUAUGUGCGUGACUGCACCUGGCGCAUAUUGAAGAGGGUGAUUGCUAACUCCCUGGCAAAGAAUCUCAAUUGGAGGGGAGUCAAUGGAAAGACUUCACUGUCCGCUCUCCAACUCGGAGAGGUCGUGAUUGCUGCAGUUCAUAGAAACCUCCUCACGGCUAAAGCUGCAGAGAUGGAGGUCGAGGGGUCCAUGAAGAGGCGGCUCCAGCUGGCAUCAGAGCGAGAGUGUGGGCGCAAGAGCAGACUUUUGAUAAAGGAGGGUAUUUACAGGGUUUUAACUGCUGUGUUUUUUGCGCUAUUUAUUAAUUUGUUAAAAUGUUCAUAUUAUAGUCUAUUUUUAAUUGUUUAUUGAAGUCCUUGCUGUUUUUAAGUGGCUGAAUUAGUGUGUGUGCACGCGUGUGUGUGUGCGUGUUGGUAGCUGGGUGGGUAUAUAGUUCUGGUCUGAAGUUGACAUACCCCUUGCAGGAGAAAGAGACCCUGUGUAAUCUGUUUAAACGACUUUUACGCAUGUUUUGCAGAGAGAUCAUUUUCACCUUGCUGUUUGGGUCUCUGUCCCACACUGCUACAGUGCAGUAUUGAGAGCGCGCGAGGGAGAUCGAUUUUCUAUCAGAAACAGUAACUAUAUAAAAUGGACGUCAACACGCACCACUCUGUGAGGUCAUUUCUCGCUCUCAACAGAGUAGUUGUGAUUGUUUAGUGUUUACGACAGGGCCAAAACAUUCAAGGCCAUGGUGUAUUUUGACUGUUCCUGUAGCAUAAUCUCACCAAACUGUGUGUACACGAGUCCACAGACACUGAGUCUAUUCACAGUUCCAUGCUGUGUAGAUGUUCUGCUCAUCCUCACUGUACCGUAAAGGUCAGAACCUCACAUCUGUAACCUUGUAGCUUUUCUUAAUCAACACGACUGCAACCAAGCUUGUGUAUCACUACUAUUUUUAGAUCUCCGCCUCUCAAAAGUAUUGGCGCCCUGCGCGUCCGCCUCUCAAAUCUUUUGGCGCCCUACGCAGCCAGCUCUCAAAUCUGUUGGCGCCCUAUGCGUCCGGCUGUCAAAUCUAUUGGCGCCCUAUGCGUCCAGCUCUCAAAACUAUUGGCGCCCUUCACGGGCAGUUCUCAAAAGUAUUGGCACCCGAUCUGAAUUUUGCCACGGCAAGCACCACUCACAUUUUCUUCAGGAAAUGUACCUUUAAAAUAAUAAAAAGUCUCUCGCUAGGCUGUGUGUCGAGAUAAACGUAAAAACAUCUUGAGUUUGUGUUCACCACAGACCUUAUUUCCGGCAUUUAACCCAAAACCCCAUUGACGGAAGUGCUAAUACGCUGAAUCGUUUCUGGGUUUCACGACUCAUUCCUGCAGCACUCUGUAAGACGGGCUGUUGUUAUCAAACCAUCGAAGUAAGAUAAGCGGCUUUGGUAAUGAUUCUUUAAAUGAACCGAUUCAGAAUCCUCUUCUUGAAUCGUUUGAGUCGUUCUCACUCGGUCAGGGUUGCACGUGUGGGUUGCUUUUCCUGCACGUGUAAUCAGCACGUGUUCACAGACCGUAAAUCCCGACCCCAUGGUAGACACUCGACAGAAAUUUCAUACUAAAGUAAGUAUUUUAUAUUUUCUGGGUCUAAACAGAGCAGAAGUAUUGCUAAUGUGAUGUACAGAUUCUAUUGGACUGGUGAACUGUGUGGAUUUGUAUAUUUAACCCAGUUUAAUAUGGCCUGCUUUGUUCAGUCAGAGACAAGUAAAUCUGUUCUAAUGUUCAUUUAUUUUCCAUAGAUAAAACACGUUUGUUUACACAUGAAUACGUACUUUAUGCUUUCAGAAUGGUGGAGAUUUGGCUCUUAACUAUGGUUAAGUGGGGGGUACUAUAAAAUGCACAGUUCUGAGACACUAUAUACCUAUACUGUGAAAUCAGUACAUGUGUGUUUAGAAUGAUUAUAGCUUUUGGGGAAAAAACUAUGCUUGAAUCUAUUAGUCCUUGUUCUGAUGCACCUGUAACGUCUCCCUGAGGGCAACAGAUCAGAGCCAGGGUGAGAGCUGUCCUCAAUGAUGGUUUUUCCUCUGCUGAGGCAACGGGGGGUGUAAAUAUCCAUCAGGGAGGUGUUGUGGAUAAAAAAUGUCAUAAAAUAAACAUAAGGGAGACCUAGCAUCCAGCAAAGGGGAGAAGAAGAAAAGACGGGCACCUAGACACAUAGAAGCGGGAUUAGGCGGACAUUGACAAAUUGGAAUUACACUUUAAAGAUCUUUAAGAGCAGUAGUAGUCAAAAAAGUCAAAAAGAGGUAUACGAGCUGAGCUGAGGAGUGCUAAUACACACACACACACGCUCGUACAGUCAAGGGCGGGCAAGUAGACACAACAUACACACACAUGAAUAACUUUAAUAAUCUUAUUGUAAUAGAGAAACUCUCUAUAAAAAAACAGAAUAGUAGGAUAUGCAGGACAGUAUGGAGGAUAUGCAGGAGCUUAAGCUCAUCACUUCUGAGAAUUCUCAUCGGUGUGGAUCUCGUGUGGUGGAACGGAACAAUAAA